UCUCAUGAUAAUACAUUUGAAGCAGACUGUAAAUUCUUCGAAGCAAAAAAAUGCCUUGUUGAGUGUAGAUAUCCAGAAAUCGAAAGACAAAAGAGUAUAGCCUAGAGUAUUCAGGCGAUUCUUACAAGCCGCAUAGCUAGAACAGAGCGAGCAGUGAAGACAUUCCAUGCGUUUGUAUUAGCUAAGUAAUUGUUUUACAGAUAUUCUACCUAUAGGCAAUCAGAGAGAGCUUUGUAUUGUAACAAUGUCCAGCUAGAGUUGUCUAGCUUUGGUUUGCAAACGCUUUGUUUCGAAAAAAGUUGCGGUUUCUGUGUGAGCUGGAAUGUGCAUUAGAAUUAUCUGCUAUCAGAGAUGAUGUCUUUAUGGGGGAGGAUGUUUACGCGACUGCCAAGUCUGUCGUUUGGUUAUCAGUCGAGUUGUUUACUUGCAUGGUUGUCAACUAAGAGAAUCUAGAUUUUUCUCUGUUUUAUUGUUAGGACGUCGAUGUGGGACUUUAAUAGUGUAAAAAUUCGACUAAAGAUUGUAAUGUAUAGUGCAGUGCACGAAGCAGUUGACGUCUGUUACAUGUGCAGCUUUAGAUUUGCACGUGCAGUUGCUAUUUGGCAUUAUGCUACAUCUACUGUACUCUAGAUAACAGUACGAGUGGGGUGAUGUGCUUCUUGGACUGUUAACCCAGCGCAAAAGAUUUAGAAGGUGCUAAGGUUGCAAAACUGCUAUACCUCAAGGUCGCAAUCAUUGCAAAACAUUAUGCAAAAUAGACCAGAUCAAGUAGAAAACGUGUUAACUAGUGACAGCAGCGGGUGGGUCCGGUGUCUUUCGUAUGUAAAUGUUAGUCUCUUUCCGGCGACCUAUGCGGUCCAAUUUGCAUCUGCACUGACGGUUAAUGCGUAGGGACAUCAGUGCAAAGUGUGCACUCUUUUACGGUACCGUUAGAAAGGAUUUUUGAAUUGAAGGAUAAUACACAAGCAAAAGAACGAAAGUGACAAACAGCCAGCAUUGACUAACCUAACACGUAAUGUAGAAGGUAAUCUGCGAGCGUUAUACUAAAAUUUUUAGAUUCUUACAGUCAUAUCUUACAACUCACUUCUGUUAGCGGGCUUUCGGUCGUUUGUUCUUGCAAAGGCUUCGAUCAUACCAUCAAGACUAUAACUAACAAGGUGGGAAGAAAUUAUCGCGUACAUGCCUCAAUUCAAACUCCUUGGGAAUGUUCUACUGCAAUUCUAUACUCUAUUGUAUUAAGGGAACUUAAAUUUUUCCGUAGGAACGUUUCUGAGCGUUUAUCUAGUUUCAAUCAACUUGUUACGUGUAUAGAGUGCUUGUCAACAAAGGAAAGUGCACAUGUUUUAACAACAGCUUUAUUGGUCAUUUGGAUUUGGUGUGUCAUGAAUCUAUGGCAGACUCUUUGCAAAUGGAGGGUCAAGAAGGCUUUGCGAAGUAUAUGAGUUAAAUGGAACGUUACAUUUUGAGCAACGAGAUUGACCACGACUGUCUUACCGUGAACGAAGACUGCUGAUGGUUUUUAGGUUUCUGCUGCAAGGAAGUGACGAAGUACGACAGCCUCUUUAUCACCUCUGUGACUGUCGGUACAAGAGAAGCAUCUGCUGCAGCAGGUUAAUUGUUUUGGCACUCGCAAUGGCGAAUAUAGCAAAGCAGUGCGAGCCUGGACUGAGUUGACUCAAUUGCUGCUGGAUGUCGAAGGCAAUCAGGACUGUGCUCCAUGAACAUAGAAAACGAUGGAAGAGUCCAUCGUAUCAAACAGUGCUGUCAGUAAAUGUUUCUCGUACCAAACCGAGAAAAAUAAUAUCGCCCGUGCAUGGCGUUGGGCAAUUUUAAUAGAGAGGAGACAGUCACAUUGAAUGACGAAGUUUGAGUUACCAGUCUAACCGCUGCAUGAGAACAUGAAGAGAUGUGAGCACUACAGUGCAAGAGCUGAACAUAUGGAUUUGAACUUGUUCUUGCUUAGACUCUGGUCAGAAUGCUUAGUGCAUGCAUGAGUUCUUUGUAGAUUUUUGAAAUGAAUCUGUGACGGUAUAUAUCAGUACAAUUAUGUGUCUCGCUGCA